rnacentral:rRNA from 1 species
CAGUGAGGAAUAUUGGUCAAUGGACGGAAGUCUGAACCAGCCAUGCCGCGUGAAGGAUGAAGGCGUUCUGCGUUGUAAACUUCUUUUAUUUAGGAAGAAACCACUUUUUUUUAAGAGUGUUGACGGUAUUAAAUGAAUAAGCACCGGCUAACUCCGUGCCAGCAGCCGCGGUAAUACGGAGGGUGCAAGCGUUAUCCGGAUUUACUGGGUUUAAAGGGUGUGUAGGCGGACUUUUAAGUCAGGGGUGAAAUCCCGAGGCUCAACCUCGGAACUGCCUUUGAUACUAUUAGUCUUGAAUUAUGUUGAGGUUGGCGGAAUAUAACAUGUAGCGGUGAAAUGCAUAGAUAUGUUAUAGAACACCGAUUGCGAAGGCAGCUGGCUAAACAUAUAUUGACGCUGAGGCACGAAAGCGUGGGUAGCGAACAGGAUUAGA